AUGAUGAAGAAGCCCCAGUGCACCUCAAGAAGCUUAGACCGUUCAUGCCAGCUCACGAUGACUCGUCCCGUGGUAGAGAACAUGAAAGAGAGGAAGGAUAAAGGACUAAGGAGAUGGAGAACCAUAAAUACUUAUGCCAUCAGAAAGAGGACAGUUGUGGACUAUCGUUUCCACAUCAAGGAGCAACAGGAGUUCUACGAGACUGUUCUUCUUAACAAGAGCCCGACUGUCAAUGACAUGAGAUGGGUAGAUUGGGAGUACAUAGAUGCUCAUCCCGACCGCUUUCUGCAUGAGAACUUAAAGACACUAGAGCUUGACGAGUUCAUUGGUACAAACUUGACUGCAUGGAAUGACGAGAUCAUUGUGCAAUUCUAUUCAACUGCAAAUUUCUACCCGGAUGGCAAAAUUAGAUGGAUGACAGAGGGAGUAGAUAUGAGUCUCCAGUUGAAGAAUAGAUAG
rnacentral:rRNA from 1 species